rnacentral:rRNA from 1 species
AGCCCAAAUUUGUAAUCUGGCACUUUUUACAAGUGUCCGAGUUGUAAUUUGUAGAGCUGUUAUCCGUACUGGACCAUGUACAAGUCUGUUGAAAAGCAGCAUCAUUGAAGGUGAAAAUCCUGUAGAUGAUAUGGACUACCAGUAUAUUUGUGAUACGGUUUCUAAGAGUCGAGUUGUUUGGGAAUGCAGCUCAAAGUGGGUGGUAAAUUCCAUCUAAGGCUAAAUAUAAGUGAGAGACCGAUAGCAAACAAGUACCGUGAGGGAAAGAUGAAAAGAACUUUGAAAAUAGAGUUAACAGUACGUGAAAUUGCUGAAAGGGAAACGUUUGAAGUUAGUUUUGUAUUCGUUGGAUCAGCUUCGCAAGGAGUGUAUUCUGAUGAUAAGCAAGUCAACAUCAGUCUAUGAGUGUUGGAUAAGGGUUUUGAGAAUGUAGCAAUUUAAUUGUGUUAUAGCUUGAGACUUGGAUACGAUGCUUUGGAUUGAGGAACGCGUAGUAAGCUUUGAGCGGAUUCGAAAGGAUCUCCUUACUAUGGAUGUUGGUGAAAUAACUUUAAGCGACCCGUCUUGAA